rnacentral:rRNA from 2 species
ACGAACUCUGGUAUUGAUUGGUGCUUGCAUCAUGAUUUACAUUUGAGUGAGUGGCGAACUGGUGAGUAACACGUGGGAAACCUGCCCAGAAGCGGGGGAUAACACCUGGAAACAGAUGCUAAUACCGCAUAACAACUUGGACCGCAUGGUCCGAGUUUGAAAGAUGGCUUCGGCUAUCACUUUUGGAUGGUCCCGCGGCGUAUUAGCUAGAUGGUGGGGUAACGGCUCACCAUGGCAAUGAUACGUAGCCGACCUGAGAGGGUAAUCGGCCACAUUGGGACUGAGACACGGCCCAAACUCCUACGGGAGGCAGCAGUAGGGAAUCUUCCACAAUGGACGAAAGUCUGAUGGAGCAACGCCGCGUGAGUGAAGAAGGGUUUCGGCUCGUAAAACUCUGUUGUUAAAGAAGAACAUAUCUGAGAGUAACUGUUCAGGUAUUGACGGUAUUUAACCAGAAAGCCACGGCUAACUACGUGCCAGCAGCCGCGGUAAUACGUAGGUGGCAAGCGUUGUCCGGAUUUAUUGGGCGUAAAGCGAGCGCAGGCGGUUUUUUAAGUCUGAUGUGAAAGCCUUCGGCUCAACCGAAGAAGUGCAUCGGAAACUGGGAAACUUGAGUGCAGAAGAGGACAGUGGAACUCCAUGUGUAGCGGUGAAAUGCGUAGAUAUAUGGAAGAACACCAGUGGCGAAGGCGGCUGUCUGGUCUGUAACUGACGCUGAGGCUCGAAAGUAUGGGUAGCAAACAGGAUUAGAUACCCUGGUAGUCCAUACCGUAAACGAUGAAUGCUAAGUGUUUGGAGGGUUUCCGCCCUUCAGUGCUGCAGCUAACGCAUUAAGCAUUCCGCCUGGGGAGUACGGCCGCAAGGCUGAAACUCAAAGGAAUUGACGGGGGCCCGCACAAGCGGUGAGCAUGUGGUUUAAUUCGAAGCUACGCGA